AGUGAACGCUGGCGGCAGGCCUAACACAUGCAAGUCGAACGGAAGCACAGUAAGAGCUUGCUCUUACGGGUGGCGAGUGGCGGACGGGUGAGGAAUACAUCGGAAUCUACUUUUUCGUGGGGGAUAACGUAGGGAAACUUACGCUAAUACCGCAUACGACCUACGGGUGAAAGCAGGGGAUCUUCGGACCUUGCGCGAAUGAAUGAGCCGAUGUCGGAUGAGCUAGUUGGCGGGGUAAAGGCCCACCAAGGCGACGAUCCGUAGCUGGUCUGAGAGGAUGAUCAGCCACACUGGAACUGAGACACGGUCCAGACUCCUACGGGAGGCAGCAGUGGGGAAUAUUGGACAAUGGGCGCAAGCCUGAUCCAGCCAUACCGCGUGGGUGAAGAAGGCCUUCGGGUUGUAAAGCCCUUUUGUUGGGAAAGAAAAGCAGCAGGUUAAGACCCCGCUGUUCUGACGGUACCCAAAGAAUAAGCACCGGCUAACUUCGUG
rnacentral:rRNA from 1 species